UACACGUUGUAGAGAAAAAAGGAACAACAACUUCAAAUCUUGGAAGACCUUUUUGAGAAAUAGCUGAGGUGAAGAAGGGAAUUGAGAAGUCAUGGAAGGAAAAAGGUGAAGCUAGUGGUGUUUAUAACAGAAUCGAUGAGAAUUGGAAGAUGUACAAGAAUCUUUUCCAUCGGGACAGGGUCAAGAAUCUAAAAACCAAAAGAAAAAAUGUGUUGGUAAUACAUUUGUGACCAAGUCUAAGUUGUUUUCUUUAUUAAGAUUUAUGUAUCUGAUAGUUAAAAACAUAAUGUAUGGUUUGUAUUUUUGUGUUGCAGCACUUCCCCAGGAAAAUUUCCAGAAUGUUCAAAGGCGAAAAAUUUACAACUGCAGAUUUCUAACAGCAAAAAGGAACAACCCCGAUGUUGAAAAACAUGGAAAGUACGUGGGAGCUGGAUGAUAUGAAUACGCAAAGACACACAGAUUUCGCAAUGGGGAUGUGUUGUCUUUCAUGAUGCGUAAAUAUGAUGAUUUCAUGUAUGUUCAUGACAGUAGCAUGAAAUGAUGCGAAUAUUGGAAGUUAAUGUUUAAUAACUAGUUUUGGUUGUGUUUAUUUAAUGUGAUUUUGGAUGUUUAGUUUGAUGUAAUGUUUGGAUAUUUAUCUUGUUUUAUUGUAAGUAAUGUUUGAAUUGGAUAAUUUUGUUCUUUGACAGAAGUAAUGUAUAAGUAUAAUUUUGUUGAAUUUCUCUAUCCAGUUUUGUUUGUUUCUUGUAAUGUGCAAAAUAUAUGGUAGAUUGCAAUAUAUAUUUGCA
rnacentral:lncRNA from 1 species